AUUGAACGCUGGCGGCAGGCCUAACACAUGCAAGUCGAACGAGUGGCGGACGGGUGAGUAAUGUCUGGGAAACUGCCUGAUGGAGGGGGAUAACUACUGGAAACGGUAGCUAAUACCGCAUACCAUCGGAUGUGCCCAGAUGGGAUUAGCUAGUAGGUGGGGUAACGGCUCACCUAGGCGACGAUCCCUAGCUGGUCUGAGAGGAUGAUCAGGCACACUGGAACUGAGACACGGUCCAGACUCCUACGGGAGGCAGCAGUGGGGAAUAUUGGACAAUGGGCGAAAGCCUGAUCCAGCCAUGCCGCGUGUAUGAAGAAGGUCUUCGGGUUGUAAAGCACUUUAAGUUGGGAGGCGUUACCAGCAGAAUAAGCACCGGCUAACUUCGUGCCAGCCGCCGCGGUAAUAC
rnacentral:rRNA from 1 species